rnacentral:lncRNA from 1 species
AAAAAUUCAGCGUCAACAACCAGGACAAACCACAAAGAAGAGACGAGACAAGCACUGGCGCUGAUUCUUCCUUGUGGUUUGCAACAACACACCCAAGC